UACGUAGGUGGCAAGCGUUGUCCGGAUUUACUGGGCGUAAAGAGCGCGCAGGCGGUCGUUCAAGUCGCGUGUGAAAGCCCCCCGGCUCAACUGGGGAGGGUCAUUCGAUACUGAUCGACUUGAAGGCAGGAGAGGGUAGUGGAAUUCCCGGUGUAGUGGUGAAAUGCGUAGAUAUCGGGAGGAACACCAGUGGCGAAGGCGACUACCUGGCCUGUUCUUGACGCUGAGGCGCGAAAGCUGGGGGAGCAAACGGGG
rnacentral:rRNA from 1 species